CCCCGGUAAACGGCGGCCGUAACUAUAACGGUCCUAAGGUAGCGAAAUUCCUUGUCGGGUAAGUUCCGACCUGCACGAAUGGCGUAAUGAUGGCCAGGCUGUCUCCACCCGAGACUCAGUGAAAUUGAACUCGCUGUGAAGAUGCAGUGUACCCGCGGCAAGACGGAAAGACCCCGUGAACCUUUACUAUAGCUUGACACUGAACAUUGAGCCUUGAUGUGUAGGAUAGGUGGGAGGCUUUGAAGUGUGGACGCCAGUCUGCAUGGAGCCGACCUUGAAAUACCACCCUUUAAUGUUUGAUGUUCUAACGUGGACCCGUAAUCCGGGUUGCGGACAGUGUCUGGUGGGUAGUUUGACUGGGGCGGUCUCCUCCUAAAGAGUAACGGAGGAGCACGAAGGUUGGCUAAUCCUGGUCGGACAUCAGGAGGUUAGUGCAAUGGCAUAAGCCAGCUUGACUGCGAGCGUGACGGCGCGAGCAGGUGCGAAAGCAGGUCAUAGUGAUCCGGUGGUUCUGAAUGGAAGGGCCAUCGCUCAACGGAUAAAAGGUACUCCGGGGAUAACAGGCUGAUACCGCCCAAGAGUUCAUAUCGACGGCGGUGUUUGGCACCUCGAUGUCGGCUCAUCACAUCCUGGGGCUGAAGUAGGUCCCAAGGGUAUGGCUGUUCGCCAUUUAAAGUGGUACGCGAGCUGGGUUUAGAACGUCGUGAGACAGUUCGGUCCCUAUCUGCCGUGGGCGCUGGAGAACUGAGGGGGGCUGCUCCUAGUACGAGAGGACCGGAGUGGACGCAUCACUGGUGUUCGGGUUGUCAUGCCAAUGGCACUGCCCGGUAGCUAAAUGCGGAAGAGAUAAGUGCUGAAAGCAUCUAAGCACGAAACUUGCCCCGAGAUGAGUUCUCCCUGAGACUUAGAGUCUCCUGAAGGAACGUUGAAGACGACGACGUUGAUAGGCCGGGUGUGUAAGCGCAGCGAUGCGUU
rnacentral:rRNA from 1 species